rnacentral:rRNA from 1 species
ACGGAAGGCAGCAGUGGGGAAUAUUGCACAAUGGGGGAAACCCUGAUGCAGCGACGCCGCGUGAGCGAUGAAGUAUUUCGGUAUGUAAAGCUCUAUCAGCAGGGAAGAAAAUGACGGUACCUGACUAAGAAGCCCCGGCUAACUACGUGCCAGCAGCCGCGGUAAUACGUAGGGGGCAAGCGUUAUCCGGAUUUACUGGGUGUAAAGGGAGCGCAGACGGCAAGGCAAGUCUGAAGUGAAAGCUCGGGGCUCAACCCCGGAACUGCUUUGGAAACUGUUUAGCUAGAGUGCAGGAGAGGUAAGUGGAAUUCCUAGUGUAGCAGUGAAAUGCUUAGAUAUUAGGAGGAACACCAGUGGCGAAGGCGGCUUACUGGACUGUAACUGACGUUGAGGCUCGAAAGCGUGGGGAGCAAACAGGAUUAGAUACCCUGGUA